UACGAAGGGGGCGAGCGUUGUUCGGAUUUACUGGGCGUAAAGGGCGCGCAGGCGGCGCAUUUUGUCAGGCGUGAAAGCCCCGGGCUUAACCUGGGAACUGCGUUUGAUACGGAUGGGCUAGAGUUCGGGAGAGGAGAGUGGAAUUCCCAGUGUAGAGGUGAAAUUCGUAGAUAUCGGGAGGAACACCAGUGGCGAAGGCGGCGACCUGGGCCAAUAUUGACGCUGAGGUGCGAAAGCGUGGGGAGCAAACAGG
rnacentral:rRNA from 1 species